CGCUCUUUGAAAGGUUAUUUUAAUAACUCAUAGUAUAUGGAGAGUCGGACCUGCCCGGUGACUAAGAUGUUAAACGGCCGCGGUACUCUGACCGUGCAAAGGUAGCAUAAUCAUUUGCCUUUUAAUUGAAGGCUUGUAUGAAUGGUUUGACGAGAAUUGAGCUGUCUCCUUUUAACUAUACAAAAAUUAAUUUUCAGGUGAAGAGGCCUGUAUGUAAUUGAGGGACAAGAAGACCCCGUUGAGCUUCAGUAAAUUAACAAAAAUUAGUGAUCUUAAAUAAAUUAAUUAUUACAUUGAUGUAAAUAUUUUUUGUUAAAAAUCUUUAGUUGGGGCGACUAAGGAACAUAUAGAGCUUCCUUUAUAAGGUUUUAAAGAAUUCAAUCUAAAAAUGAUCCAAUAUUUAUUGAUCAAAGGAAAAAGUUACCACGGGGAUAACAGCGUAAUCUUUCUGGAGAGUUCUUAUCGAAGGAAAGGUUUGCGACCUCGAUGUUGGACUAAGAUAUCCUAGAGAUGCAGAAGUUUCUAAUGGUUAGUCUGUUCGACUAUUAAAAUCUU
rnacentral:rRNA from 1 species